rnacentral:rRNA from 1 species
UACGGGGGGGGCAAGCGUUGUUCGGAAUUACUGGGCGUAAAGGGCUCGUAGGUGGCCAACUAAGUCAGACGUGAAAUCCCUCGGCUUAACCGGGGAACUGCGUCUGAUACUGGAUGGCUUGAGUUUGGGAGAGGGACGCGGAAUUCCAGGUGUAGCGGUGAAAUUCGUAGAUAUUGGGAAGAACACCGGUGGCGAAGGCGGCGCUCUGGACCGAGACUGACGCUGAGGCGCGAAAGCGUGGGGAGCAAACAGG